rnacentral:rRNA from 1 species
CAGCAGCCGCGGUAAUACGGAGGAUGCAAGCGUUAUCCGGAUUCAUUGGGUUUAAAGGGUGCGCAGGCGGAAUAAUAAGUCAGUGGUGAAAGCCUACAGCUUAACUGUAGAACUGCCAUUGAUACUGUCAUUCUUGAGUAUUGUUGAGGUAGGCGGAAUGUGUCAUGUAGCGGUGAAAUGCUUAGAUAUGACACAGAACACCGAUCGCGAAGGCAGCUUACCAAGCAAUAACUGACGCUCAUGCACGAAAGCGUGGGGAUCAAACAGGAUUAGAUACCCUGGUAGUCCACGCCGUAAACGAUGAUCACUCGAUGUUGGCGAUACACAGUCAGCGUCUUAGCGAAAGUAUUAAGUGAUCCACCUGGGGAGUACGGUCGCAAGAUUGAAACUCAAAGGAAUUGACGG